rnacentral:lncRNA from 1 species
AGUCCUGGGCACUGUUGCUCAUGAGUGCUGCACAACUGUCGCCCUCUAAAGCCACCUCCAUCCCUCACUGGGCUGGCCUCCUGAGCCUUCGCUUCCCCCUUUCUCCCCGUCCUGUACGGUUCCCCCUGGAGCCAGAAGGAAGCCCGGUGCCAGCCAGCCUUCCUGAAAGACCAAGCCCGCGCCAUCCGGCUUCCUCCAGUGGACGCCUGCAGGACCCAGGAACACUACAUCAACACUGUUGGCGGGGACCUGGACACAGAAGACUCCUGUUUCAAGAAAAUACAAUCAUCUCUCAAAGGCUGUAAUUUAUAUGCAUUUUAAAACUCUAGGCAUUGAAAACCACCCAAGUGUCCCAAAUAGAAGGGUAAUAUAUAAUCAAUCACUCAGUGUAAUAUUAUACAUCCUUUAAAAAUGUUAUUGGGAAAUGUUUUAUGAUCUGUAAGUCCAAGGAAUCCUCUCCCACCAUUUCUUUCCCCCCGCUGUUCCCCCAUACCCACACUUCUUUGUUCCAAUUGGCAUGUAAAUUUGGUUUUCCCGCCAAAUGAGUCAGUCAUGAUGGGAACCUCAACUGAUUUGAACAGAUGUGUGUCAAUGUUACUUGGAAAACUAGAUGUCAAUAACCAGGGUCACAGAAAAAGGCAGUGGUCACAACUCUGUAAAAAUGUAUGCAUGCACACAGACAAGAACUAAAGUGGAACCCCACACAGGAAAACAGUGGGCUGUACUCCAGUGCUGGGACAUUGAAUGACUGUAUGCUGCUUUUGAUUUCCGUUAAUAUGGGCAACUGUCCAAUUAAAAAAAAAACUCCUAAGG